AAGCGCUUACAACCAGACUUGAGUGUAAUGGUUCCCCCUUCCUUUUGGUUGGGUUACUCCAUUAUAUCCAGGCCAACAUCAGUUUUGGUGGUUGGUUAAAGGCUUUGAGAAUGUAUCUACCCCCGGGUCGACUUAUAGCUCAGAGUGUCAUGCAACCUACCGGGACUGAGGAACGCGCAUCUGCUCGGAUGUUGGCGUAAUGGUUGUCAGCGA
rnacentral:rRNA from 1 species